GCCUUUCCAAUCCAUCCAGCAGAGAAACAAUAUCUUUGAGAGUUACUUUUCAGUAGAAAGUCUUUCACCUCCUUUGCUUUUGUGUGAGAAAAAUGGCUUACUCCAAGACUUUCCUUCUCAUUGGCCUUCUCUUUGCUGUUGUUCUCAUCCUGUCCUCUGAGGUUUCAGCUCGGGAUCUAGCUGAAACAUCCCAAACUCGUAAGUUAAAUUUCUUUUAGUAGAUGUAAAUUAAUGGCAUGUUAUGUGUUCAUAUAGAGAUGCUUUAUUAACUUAUUUAAAGUAAUAAAUUUCGUUUUCUUAAAUUAUGGCAGAAGUGAGCGUGGAGGAUGCGAAGUACGGUGGGUAUGGACACGGGUACGGCCACGGAAAAGGACAUGGGUACCAAAAAGGACAUGGGCAUGGGCAUGGGAAACCUGGUCAUGGGGGACCUGGCCAUCCACCUGGUCAUGGUGGUGCUGGUGAGGAUGUGGAAGAGGGGACGCAGAAUUAGUGUAAUCAAUCCUUAAUUAUGUGGGCUACGCAUGAUUAGGGUGUGUUUUAUGUAAGUUUAUGAAAGCGUGUGUAUCAAUAAGGCAUGUGGGCUUAGGGUUACUCUCUAAGACCAGCAUGGCUGUGUUGUAGCUUCUAUGCUUAAUAUAAUGCUUUUUCAUGUGCUGUGCUAAAAUGGAGUAUGAUGAAUGCCGUCGGGUGAUCUACCCUUUUUUUUUUUCUUGGGAUUAUAUUAUUUACUUCGGAGUAAUUUUGUUGAGAUAUGAUUUUGUGUAAAUAUACUUACCAUCAUUGGUUUCAAAUUAUAUUAGUUUAUACCCUCACCAACAUACCCACCUCAAAUCUUUACCUAAAAUUGAUCUAAAAACCUAAAAUUUAUCUAAAAAGUAAAUUGUGAACAUGCGAAAUUUAAAACCAGCAACAACUUAGGCUAUGUUUGGUUUUCGAAAAAUUUGAGGAAAAUGUAAAGGAAAGAAAAUAGAGAGGAAAAGUAAAAGGAAAGAAAAGGAAAAUAAAAAAUAGAGUUAAAGAUAAUAAAUCAUUUUUAUUUGUUACUUUAAAUUUAUAUUAUUUAUUUUAAUUUAUCAAUAUAAAAAUUAAAUAAUUUUAAAAUAUAUAAGUUUUUAAUUAAUUUUAAUUAUAUUUAAUUUUCUUUGUAAUAUUUUAUAGGAUAAUUAAAUAUGAGAAAAUCAUUUUUUAUCAUUUUUUUUUUCUUUUGUACUUUUCGGGAACCAAACAUAACUUUAGUGUAUUUACACUCAACCUUAAAAGUAUAAAUGAGAUUAAUUUUUAUUUGGAAUUAUUGGAAUUUGGAUUUGAAAAGAAAGAAAUUUUUUUUUUGAAUUGAGAAAAAAAUGAAGGUAAAAAGUAUAAUAACCAAUUAUAUAGUUAUAAAAAGAAUUUGCAUGGUAAAGCCUUUUAUUGAGAGGUCUUAGUUUUCUUUGAGAUAUUUUAAGUUGAAGAUUAUUGCAGUCAAUCCUAUUUUGUGGGUUAUUUAUAUAAAUUCAUUGAAAUUGUAGCUCGGGAGUAAAUGAAAUACAAAUAGGAUAUGCAUUCUCAGUCCUCUAUUUAAGAAACCAAAUGUAGUAUAAAAAAAAAUACUUAUGCAAUUUAAUAUAACAAUAAUACUUCCUAUCCAACACUUAGUCCAAGAGUUACUUAUAUUCCCAUUUUUAUAAGUAUACCAAAUAUAAUUAUUGUUGGUGCACAAUGAAUGAUUACUCGAUUUGGGUAGUUUUUUCCACUGGAUUGGAUGAUUUUGUAAAAAACGAGUCGUUGGAUGGUUGUUUUGGGCAUCCUUCUUCAAUGGUUAAGUUAGUUUGAGAAUUUUUAAGGCAAAUAUUUUGUAUGGGUUUAGAGUGUAUAUCUUUAUUUAUUUUUAACGUUCGAUGUUCUUUUAUAAUAGAGGCAUCUUAUAAUGGUGUUUAUAUUUUAUGAUUAUUAUUUAUUGUAGUUUUAGUGCAUGUUAGAGCAUAACGAUUUAGUCAUUGGAAAUGAUUGAUUAUUUAUAUUAUGAAAUAAUUACCUUUGAAAUGACACAUAAUGAUUGUAUUUAUAUUUUUACCAUUGGAAAAAUAAUUAUUGACUCUAAUUUGGUUCUAUGUUAGUCGGGCGAUACAAGUUGUAUCUAAAUCAUUAAAUGAUGAGAUUUUGAUUAUUGAAUGUGAAUAGAAAUGGAGGUGAUAAAAAUUUAAAGGCAUAAAUAAAUGGAAUUAAUGUAUAUAAAAAAAAAAGAUUUGAAAAUGGUUUAAGUGUUGGCAUGCGAGGGUGUCCUUUGUUAUCUAAGAUCGAUUUGAAGAGAAUUGAGAGGUCGGUGGACAUGAGGACAGAUAUGAGAAUGACGUGAGAUGGGACGUAAUCAUUCAAGAGAUAUCAUGUGAGUAGAAAUUAGAAUGUAGUGAACUUUGCCCAUGCAUAUGGAGUUGAAUUUUAAGCUCAAAUCCAACACCUGUCACCCAUGUGGCACUCUCAAUUGACAUAAUAGUGUUGUGUUUUGGACUUGGUGACGUGUGGAGGGACGUACGUAUACAUGAAUGGGCUGUUUCAGGGACUUUUCUCAAUAGUAUAGUAAUUUAAAAAAGUUAUGCUUAAAUUAUUAUAGUAGAAGAAGUUAUUACAAAUAUAUGGUAGUUUUUGCCACAUAGGAGAAAGGAGAGAGGAGAUAGGAGAGAGGGUGAACGGAUAAUUUUUUUUAAAAAAGGGAACUCGUCUCUUGAAGAGACGAGUUCCAUGAAAAAAAAAUAUAUAUUUUUUAAAAAAAAUUCCUAUUUACUCAAGGGAACUCGUCUCUUGACGAGUUCCAUGAAAAAAGACAAGGGAAAGACGAGUUCCUAGGGAAAAAAAAAUAUUUUUUUUAAAAUAUAUUUUUUAUUUAAAAAAAAUCCUAAAUUAAAUUAUAAAAAAAAUUUCCUAAAGGGAACUCGUCUCUUCAAGAGACAAGUUCCCAUGUAAAAAAAUUUUUUUUUUUUUUAAAAUAUAUAUAUUUAAAAAAAAAAAAUUUCCUUUUUUUUUAAUUUGGGAUUUUUUUAAAAUAAAAAAUAUAUUUAAAAAAAAAAUAUUUUUUUCCCAUGGGAACUCGUCUCUUCAAGAGACGAGUUCCCUUUAGCAAUUUUGAGAAAUUGUUUUUUUUUUUUUAAUAUAUAUAUAUUUAAAAAAAAUAUUUUUUUUACAUGGGAACUCGUCUCUUGAAGAGACGAGUUCCCUUUGGAAUUGUUUUUUUUUUUUUUUUUUAUUUGGGAUUUUUUUUUAAAAAAAAUAUUUUUUUUACAUGGGAACUCGUCUCUUGAAGAGACGAGUUCCCUUUGGAAUUGUUUUUUUUUUUUUUUUUUUUAUUUGGGAUUUUUUUUUUUUAAAAAAUAUUUUUUUCCUAUGGGAACUCGUCUCUUGAAGAGACGAGUUCCCUUUAGGANNNNNNNNNNNNNNNNNNNNNNNNNNNNNNNNNNNNNNNNNNNNNNNNNNNNNNNNNNNNNNNNNNNNNNNNNNNNNNNNNNNNNNNNNNNUUUUAUUUAUUUAAAAAUAUAUAUUUUUUUUUACAAGGGAACUUGUCUCUUCAAGAGACGAGUUCCCUUUAGCAAUUUUGAGAAAUUGUUUUUUUUUUUUUUUUAAUAUAUAUAUAUUUAAAAAAAAAUAUUUUUUUUACAUGAAGAGACGAGUUCCCUUUGGAAUUGUUUUUUUUUUUUUAUUUUUUUAUUUUUUUAUUUGGGAUUUUUUUUAAAUAAAAAAUAUAUUUUAAAAAAAAAUAUUUUUUUUCCCAUGGGAACUCGUCUCUUGAGUUUCCUUUAGGAAUUUUUUUUUUUUAAAAUAUAUAUAUAUUUUUAAAAAAAAUAUUAUUUUUACAUGGGAACUCCCUUUAGGAAUUUUGAGGAAUUGUUUUUUUUUUUUUUUAAUAUAUAUAUUUUAAAAAAAAAAUAUUUUUUUUUACAUGGGAACUCGUCUCUUGAAGAGACGAGUUCCCUUUGGAAUUGUUUUUAUUUUUUUAUUUUUUUUAUUUUUAUUUUUAUUUUUAAUUUGGGAUUUUUUUAAAUAAAAAAUAUAUUUAAAAAAAAAAAAUUUCCCAAGGGAACUCAGGAAAUUUUUAUUUUUUUUAAAUAUAUAUAUUUUUAAAAAAAAUAUUUUUUUUUUACAUGGGAACUCAUCUCUUCAAGAGACGAGUUCCUUUGAGGAAUUGUUUUUUUUUUUUUUUUUUAAUAUAUACAUUUAAAAAAAAAAAUAUUUUUUUUUUACAUGGGAACUCGUCUCUUCAAGAGACGAGUUCCCUUUGGAAUUGUUUUUUUUUUUUUUUUUAAUUUUUUAAUUUGGGAUUUUUUAAAUAAAAAAUAUAUUUUAAAGAAGAGACGAGUUCCUUUAGGAUUUUUUUUAAAUAAAAAAUAUAUUUAAAAAUUUUUUUUUUUCCCAUGGGAACUCGUCUCUUGAGUUCCCUUAGGAAAUUUUUUUUUUUAAAUAUAUAUAUUUAAAAAAAAAAAAUAUUUUUAAAAAAAAAAAAUUUUUUUUUACAUGGGAACUCGUCUCUUCAAGAGACGAGUUCCCUUUAGGAAUUUUGAGGAAUUGUUUUUUUUUUUUUUAAUAUAUAUAUUUUAAUUAGGAAUUUUUUUUUUAAAUAUAUAUAUUUUUUUAAAAAAAAUAUUUUUUUUUACAUGGGAACUCGUCUCUUGAAGAGACGAGUUCCCUUUGGAAUUGUUUUUUUUUUAUUUUUUUUUUAUUUUUUAUUUUUUUAUUUGGGAUUUUUUUAAAUAAAAAAUAUAUUUAAAAAAAAAAAUAUUUUUUUUCCCAAAGGGAACUCGUCUCUUCAAGAGACGAGUUCCCUUUGGAAUUGUUUUUUUUUUUUUUUUAUUUUUUAUUUUUUAUUUUUUAUUUGGGAUUUUUUUAAAUAAAAAAUAUAUUUAAAAAAAAAAAUAUUUUUUUCCCAAAGGGAACUCGUCUCUUCAAGAGACGAGUUCCCUUUGGAAUUGUUUUUUUUUUUUUUUUUUUUUAAAUUUGGGAUUUUUUUAAAUAAAAAAUAUAUUUUAAAAAAAAAAUAUUUUUUUUCCCAUGGGAACUCGUCUGAAGUAGGAAUUUUUUUUUAAAUAUAUAUAUUUUAAAAAAAAAUAUUUUUUUUUACAUGGGAACUCGUCUUUUUUUUUUUUUUUUUUUUUAAUUUAGGAUUUUUUUUAAAUAAAAAAUAUAUUUUAAAAAAAAUAUAUUUUUUUUCCCAUGGGAACUCAUCUCUUGAAGAGACGAGUUCCCUUUAGGAAUUUUUUUUUUAUGGGAUUAUUUUUAAAUAAAAAAUAUAUUUAAAAAAAAUAUAUAUUUUUUUUUCCCAGGGGAACUCGUCUCUUCAAGAGACGAGUUCCCUUUAGUUCCAAAUUGUUUUUUUUUUUUUUUUUAAUUUGGGAAUUUUUUAAAAAUAAAAAUAUUUUUUUAAAUGGAAACCCGCCCCUUGGAGAAAAGAGUUUCCUUGAAAAAUGGUUUUUUUUUUUUUUUUUAAUUUGAAAAUUUUUUAACAAUAAAUUAUAUAAUUUUUUCCAGGGAACCCCCCUCCUGAAAAGACAAGCUCCCCAAAGAAAAGGGGAAUUUUCUUAAAAAANNNNNNNNNNNNNNNNNNNNNNNNNNNNNNNNNNNNNNNNNNNNNNNNNNNNNNNNNNNNNNNNNNNNNNNNNNNNNNNNNNNNNNNNNNNNNNNNNNNNUUUUUUUCCCAUGGGGAACUCAUCUCUUGAAGAGACGAGUUCCCUUUAGGAAUUUUUUUUUUAUGGGAUUAUUUUUAAAUAAAAAAUAUAUUUAAAAAAAAUAUAUAUUUUUUUUCCCAUGGGAACUCGUCUCUUCAAGAGACGAGUUCCCUUUAGUUCCAAAUUGUUUUUUUUUUUUUUUUUAAUUUGUGAAUUUUUUAAAAAUAUAUAUAUUUUUUUUAAUGGGAACUCGUCUCUUGAAGAGACGAGUUUCCUUGAAGAAUUGUCUUUUUUUUUUUUUUUAAUUUGAGAAUUUUUUUACAAAUAUAUAUAUAUAUUUUUUCAUGGAACUCGUCUCCUGAAGAGACGAGUUCCCUUAAGUAAAUGGGAAAUUUUCUUAAAAAAAUAUAUAUAUUUUUUUUCAUGGAACUCGUCUCUUCAAGAGACGAGUUCCCUUUUUAAAAAAAAUUUAUCGAUUCACCCUUUCUCCUAUCUCCUCUCUCCUCUCUCUCACCUUCUCUCCUAUCUCCUUUCUCCUCUCUCCUAUGUGGCAAAAACUACCAUAUAUUUGUAAUAACUUCUUCUACUACAAUAAUUUAAGCAUAACUUUUUUAAAUUACUAUAUUAUUGAGAAAAGUCCCUGUUUCCAGUUUCCAACUAUGUCAUUAAAGGAAGGUUCAUGAUUUUUUUGGAACUUUAAAAUGAUAUGACAAACACAGCGUAGCAUUUUUCUUAAAAGGAAAUCCAUAUAAAACAAUUUAUAUUUCUAAUUACCAAAUUCUUCGUACCAAUAUUUAGAGUGUUUGAUAAUAAUUAUAAAAAAUAUUUAUACUUUUUUUAACACCAAAAUUUUUUUAUCUUUCACAUAUAAAAAAGUUAAAAAUACUUUCUAAAACUUUAAUACAUUCAUUUUCAUUUGAAGUGGGUAAUCGAGGCAAUGUUUGUCUUUUUCUUUUUGAAUUGUUGCUAUCUUUGAGUUAAUCCUUUGGAGCCUCAUUCUACAGUAUGAAGAGAAGAACAAGUAAAAGUGGUCCUCCAUCAGUAAGUUAUUAACAAUUACCCAAUGGCAAGGUGGGAAAUUUGAUAGGAUAAAAAAAAAAAUCCUUAAAUGGACAUUUCAUUCAUUUGAAUAACAUGGAAAUGAAAUCCCAUGAGUGAAAUUUUAAUUCUUCCUAAUUAGGGGUAUUUUAAUUCCAUAGUAUAACUUAUUUUUAAAAUUACUUUUCAAAAAUUAAAAAAUUAAAGACCUUUUUAGAUAAGUUAUUUUUAAAAUUAAUUUUUAUUUUGAUUUUGUAAAACAUACAAAUUUUAGAUUCAAUUUAUAUAAUAUAAAUUAAGGGUGCUUUUGACAAUGACUCUAGGAAGCCUUUUUUUUUUAAUCCUAAAAUGUGUUUUUGAAAAAAAAAUAAUUAGGUGUUUGACAAAUUUUAGGAAACACUUUUAAAAAUUUGAAGAGUGUGUUUGACAUUGAUUUUAUAAAAUAAUUUUUUUUUUUACAUUUUUAAUACUUGAAAAAUAAAAUUUUUAUAGUGUUAGAAAAAUUAAAAGUGCCUCUUAGAAUCACUACCAAAUGGGGUCGAAAAAUUACUUAUAAUGUUUUUUUAGACAAACACUUGAUAGAUGAUUAUCCUAAAAACACUUUUAAAGAAAAUACUUUCACUAAAAACAUUUCUGAGUAGUAACAUUAAUUGAUUUAUUUUGUUAAAAAUAAAUAAUAAUAAUUUCCAAUACUAUUUAUAUGAUUUUAUAAAUAUUAUAAAAAUAUGGAUAUUAACAUAUUAUAAAAGCAUAAUUAAUUUAUUUUGUUAAAAAUAAAGAAUAAUUAUUCAAAAUUAAUAAUUGCUAAUACUAUUCUAUUUUAAAUAAAUAUAAAAACAAACAAAAUUUAAAAUUUUAAGUUAUAAAUGAGCUAAAAUUUUCAAUAUGUAUGCAUUUAUUACUUAAUUAUGAAGAUGACAUUGUGAAUUAUUUUAUUUGAUCUAUAAUUAAUUAAUUAAUUAUUUAAAUUUUGAAUUAUUCUUAAAAAAUUAUAUAUAUGUUUUAAAUUCUUUAAUAAAUCUUAUCAUUUUUAAAAGCAAAGUAAAAUAAAGAAUUGUUCAAUACAAAGUCUUGUUUAAUUUGAAAUUCAUUGUUAGGAAAGAAAAAAAAAUUCAGAAGAACAGUUCUCUAUUUUACUUUGCUUUUAAAAAUUGUGUUUAAAGAACAACAACCAUAUAGUGAUAUAAAUUUUUAAAAACAAUUUUGUUUUUAAAUCACACGACCAAAUAGGAUUUUAUUACCGGGACCCCAGAUCUUUCUGUUCUCAUACCUUGGAUCGUAUAGGUGCAUGUAAACUACUCUAUGCCUUUAGAUCUUAUGUAAUGGAAGCAAAAAAUAAAAUUUUAAUAUUCUAAGAUAUAAAGAAAAGUCAUUAGAAAACUUUACCUUUAAUUUAAACGUUUUCAAAUCAAUUUCGCUCAAUGAAGUUGAAGCUUGAACAGUUCGAAGGUCUCGUACACCCAAGAUUUUCCUCUCAAUGACUCGAAUUACGAUCUUAACACUCCAAAGUGUAGGCUUUGGGAGGGAGGAAUCCUAGGCUCUUUAUCUUUAGAGGUAGAAGACGACUAUCUUUCAAAGUGAUGAAAACCCUAACUCCUAGGGGGUAUUUAUAGAGUUUCCUUAUUAGGCUUAAGUGACUUGAGCCUACCAAGGCUUAAGUGACUUGAGCCUACCAAAGCUUAAGUCAUUUAAUUUAGUCUAAAAUGGGUCCUAAUUAAUUAAUUAACUAUAUAUGUCUAUUUAAUUAAUUAAUUCGCACAUUUUAAAGAACUUGUUUGCUAUUCCCUAUGCAACCUUGCAUAAUUAUCAAAAUGCUCUUAUGCACAAAAGUGAAUUGAGAGUCAAUCCAAACCUCAUAAACCGUACCACCAUGAUAUAUGAGCUCAGAGUGGGGAUUAUUGGGACCAAUAGGAGUAUUGAUUUCCUCAAAAUCCAAAUAUGAAGUUGAUUCAAUAUUCCAUUAAAGAGAAUCAACCGCACUUUUAGUACCUUAUAUAAAUAUUAACGAGACAAAACUCAGGCUUGUGACUUACUAUCCACUGUAUGUAAACUUCUCAUGAACUGAUGUUUGUAAUUUAAUAAGGUAGUAUUAUUAUCUAUCAAGAUUGCCUCUAUAAUCCUUGAGUUAUAGAUCUCAUUUAUCAUGUAAUCAAUUGACAUACUCUAACUCUAAGAAGUAUAUGUAAUGCCCUAAACCCAAGAGUAAAAUCAUAAUUUAAAAUAAUAAAUAAUUUAAUAAGGGUAAAAAUGUCUUUUCUUAUUUAAAAUUCCUACGUAUAAAUUAAAUAUUUUUUAUAUUCUCUACUCAAAAAAUCCUUUUACAUGUAGAUAGAAAAUAUCAAAGAGCGUAGGGUUUGAAUAUCAAUUUUUCAGGUAAGAUUUUAAUUCUUAAAUUAAUAUUUUAUAUUUGUUAAUUAGUUUUAAACACUUUAGAUAUCUUUUUGGAAGAUCUCAAUCUAGAUUAUGGUUUGUUAAAUUAAUUUUUAGAUCAAAAGACUGAAAAUUUAUGAAUGUGGAUUAAUUUAUGAUGAAAAUAUGAAAAUUUAGAAAAUUUUAAUUGAAUAGAAAAAAAUGAAUAAAAAAUCAAUGGAAGAAAAAAAAUUUUAAAAUUUUAAAAUAAAUAAAUAAAUUGUUUGUGGAGGCUUUAGAUUGGAAAAAAAGAAAAGAAAAGAAAAUGUGUAGAUAUAUUUACCAUGUGAAAAAAAUAAUAAAAUAAAUAAAUAAAUAUAAUGGGAGGCGUGUAGGUGGUUUUGUAGAAUGUUGUGGGAUUAAAAAAAUAAAAUAAAAUGAAAUUGGAGGACACCUGUGUUGCCAAAGUGUUGAGUUCACUAUAAGAAAAAAGGGUAAUAAUGACGCUUUUUAGGCGUCAAUAAAUGUAUACGAUGACGCUUCUCGAAAGCGUCCUUUUCGCCUCUGUCAAGGAAUGGGUGCAGGCAACCAUGUCGCUUCUAGACAGCGUCAUUGUUGAUUGGUUUAUAUUAACACGUUAAAAAACGUCAUUAUUGAUCUACCUAUGUUAACACUUACACUAGCGCCAAGGAAUGGCCAAAAUAUCAUUUGUCUAUUUCGACGCUAAAAAAAGUGUCAUCUUAUGUGGAUAAUAAUAUUGAAAAUCCCCUUGUUGAAAUGAUAUAUUUUGUAUGUCCUGUUAUAUAUAAUUUUGGCUGCAUGAUUAUUUAUAAAGUAUUAAACAAUAACUUCAAUAUUAAUAACUACAUCUUCCAAAAGAAAUUGAAUAAAUUUGGGAAUAAUAUAAUGAUAAAGAACUAAUGUCUACAUAGUUAAUUAAUACGCAAAUUUGUAAAUGUAUCAAAAUAUUUACAAGCAUAUUUUCCAACUUCAACAUAUAUAAAACAAGUACACAUGUACCAAAAAGCAAGGUCUCCAAAUUCCUUAUCAAAAAUAAUAUUACAAGAAGAAGAAGAAGAAGCCAAAAGUAUUUAUAGCCAAAAGUAUUUUUGUUUGGUAGCAUAUCCACUCCUGAACUUGAAAUCUUUUACCUGUAUACAUUUAAAAAAAAAAUAAUAGAAGAAACAAAUUAUGUUUAGUUAAUAUACAUGCAAUGAAAGUUAAAUCUAAAUCUAUAAAUGGUCCAUGAAAGAAGUGCAAAUGAGAAUAACUUGGUAUUUAAUGAGAUGUUAUGCUUCAAUGAAGAUGAAAAAUUGUUUAAUUUGAUACUUGUUUAUAAAAUAUUAAAAUACUUUUUUAGUUCAUUAUUAAGUUAGAGGAAACAAGUUAGGCUUUCAAUGGUAUAAAUUCUACAAUAUGGAAUGUAAUAUAAUAUUUUCUUAUCUAUGUCUAACAUAUCAAACUCAUUUCUCAGAAAUAAAUAUAUGAAUAUACCAAUAGGUAUGGUUUAUAAUUAGUUUCAAUCAUAAAUCAUCAUAUCUAGUAAUAUAAGACAUUUAAUAUUAACCAUUUGCAAAUGCCUUAAUUUCUUCUUACAACUUUCCUAUAUUACCAAAUUUAGUUAACUAAUAACAUUCCAUAAGGAAAAAAAGAGUAUUAAACUAAAAAUUAAAAGAGCAUAACCAAGGCAAUAGAAACCUACAAAUCAUUGGUUAAAUGUCAUAAUAACAACCAUUCUAAAACUUGCCUUUAUUUUCAAUUCCAAAAUUAUAACCCAAAUAUAAUAAUUAACCCUACACAAAAAAAAGCUCUCUACCAUCCCUCCAUCCAACAACAACCUGUUGAUGCAACAACAAUAACUUCUCCAUACAACAAUAACAAUUUCUCCAUGUAACAACAACAACAACAACAAUAACAAUAACAAUAACAAUAACAUUGAUGAUCAAUGGUGAUAAUUAUAUUAGUAAUAAUUUGAUUUGUUUAGUCCAAACAUAUAACAAUAACAACUUCUCUAUGCAACAACAACAAUAAUAAUGACAACAUUGAUGAUCAUGAUAUAAUAAUUUGAUUUAUUGAGUUCACAAAUUAUAUGCUUCUUCUCCAUACAACAAUAACAAAAAUAACUUCUCCAUGUAACAACAUUGGUGAUGAUGUAAUAAUUUGAUUUGUUAUAUUGAAAUAGUUUAUGUAUAAAACUAUUAUAUUCUAUCACUAUGGAGGAAAAAAUUACUUAUCAUGAGAUGAGAACUUAUGAGAAUCGUCAAAAUGUGAUCUACAACUCUUACUGGACUGAAAUGAGGGCAUCUGCAUACAUAAGAUGGUAAAUUAAAAAAAUUAGUCCAUUCAAGACUUCAUUAAUAAUGAAAAUCAAGCAUUUUAGAUGUUAAUUUAUACCUUCAGGCAUGGGUAAGAAUCAAUUGAGUUGCCAACAUAACCCACUCAGAUCGUACUUCAUUAAGCUCAACUUCACUAUACGAUUUUUUCCCUUUAAACUAAUAAUUAAUUGUACAUACAUGAUGAUUAGUUAAGUUAACAAAAAAUUACUAAAGUAUAGAAACUAAUAAAAUUUAUUAAUGAGUAUAUACAUUUGUGGAUAGGAGGCUUGGAUCAACAAUUAUAUCUUUCAUGUAUCUCAUCACAUAAUAACCACACUCCACACUUCCUAGUUGUCCUGGGCACUAUAGGCACACAUAUGAAUUAUNNNNNNNNNNNNNNNNNNNNNNNNNNNNNNNNNNNNNNNNNNNNNNNNNNNNNNNNNNNNNNNNNNNNNNNNNNNNNNNNNNNNNNNNNNNNNNNNNNNNUAUCUUACUCUAACCAAAUUAACUUACCACUACUUUUACCCAUGUCGGCUCCCUCUUUGAUGAUCUUUGUUUCUCUGGUGGAUGAAUUCGUAGUGCCCUACAUGGAAAAGAAAAUUAACAUUUUAGAUACUAUGCACUAUAUUCAAGUAUGGAAAUGAAGACACUUACAUGUUAACAAUUUCCUUAAGAUCAUCACAUGGUUGCUUUUGCAUCGGAUCAAGGUAGUACGCAGUCAUUGUCCUCAUAUCCAAUGCCACCAAGACCCAGUGGAAACUAUAAUAGUACAUUAGAUAUUAUUUAGUAAUUAGCAUUGAUUAAGCUAUUUAACAUUAAAAAAAAACUUAAUAUUUUUCAUAACUUACUCAGGGUUAUAUGGAAUAAAAAUGUAGUCAGCACGCUUUGCAUGCAUUAAACGAUUUGCAAUCAACCUUGACCUAUUUUCCUUUGUUGUCUCACCCAUUCCAGCUUUAGAGACUAAAGCUGGAUUGAUAAAAGCAAAUCGUUCGGUGAGCCUUGCAUUACUUAGCUUUUUCUGUAGGUGCCUGUUUAAAUUCCACAUACCUUGAUAAGAAAUGACCAUUUUACUUUUAUAUAUAUAUAAAUUAACACACAUUAGCAAGUUAUAAAAUUAUUUACCAUAUAUAAUAUAUGACACAAUUAGCCGACACUUUCUUAAAUGAAAUUAUCAUAUCCAUGUCUUCUUUCAUAAGGAAGGUCUUAAAACUCUCGCCAAAUACAUCAUUUGGGACCUCCACACCUUGUGCUUUCCCCUCAUUUAGCAUGAGACCUACUAAUGCAUCAAAAUUGUUGAUAUCUUGAGGGUUUUCACCAAUUUUCAAGUCAUUUUCUGUUGUUUUUUGUCUUUUCCCUUUGUGAGAUCCCUAUAAAAGAAAGCACCAUGUUUUCAAAUGAUAUACAUAUCUUUAUAAACUAUUUCAAAUGAAAAUAACACACCUUAAUGAAUUUAGUACUCAAAUUGACUAAAUGGGUUGGCCAUAAAACUUGGUAGCCCACUACCGCUCCAAUUGUUGUAGCUUGUCCAGGAAUGGGAAUAGGAAGUGGUGUAUUUGACUUAUAGGGAGCAUCCAAAACAACUAGGUAGUUGGGCCCACAAUCCAUUACAAUUAUUCCACCAGCCACUGUAUUUUCUCUGGUCCCUACUGCUAACUCACAUUUUCUUGCCUUCAAAAGUAAAUUAAAUUGUUAAUUUCAAUAUAAAAAAGAAUCAAUAAAUGAAGUUUAAAGUGCAUUGACUAUGUUAGGGCUAUAUUUAAGACAUAAAGUUACAUAUUUUAUAAGUAAUAGUUGUAGUGGAAUAGAAUAUUACUAGUAGUAAUUAUGCUGUAAUAGAAUCUACCUAAAAUGUAAGUAUCAAUCUAACAAAAAUAAAAGCAAUUGGAAGAAAUUAUUUAUGAAAAUUAUCUAGGAAUUUGUGACAAUUACGUCAUUGAACUAGGAAAUGUAAACUAAAAAUAACACACCUUCAUGUGUGGUUCUAUUUUCACAGGUAAGGUCUCCUCUUCAACUUUACGAAUUGGUUUCUCCACUACUUCUGGUAGAAGCAACAGUUUUGAUUUCAUGUUGGAACUACUCACAUCGGAUUGUGGUGUAGCAACUCCUAUCUGAGAUAGUCUCGCUAACACAUCAGCCUCAAACUUAACUUGACGUUCUUGAGUUGCUUUUAAAAUAUCCCUCACAACACGUUCUGACAUACUAUUGAAAUAUCAUCCAGGCGUGUAGUGCUUCCCUUUAGCUCGAACCCAACCAGUAUACUCAGGAGUACCUAGUGCUUGAGAAAGUAUGUCAUUGCUCCCACUAUAGCUUAUGCCACUCUCUUGAGACUCUUUUAUCAAUUCAUCCUAAAACAAAAGGAAGUUAUGAAGUUAACUUUCAAAUAAGUAAAACCAAAUAAGGUGUUUAAAGAUGUGAUUUUUGGGUACAAAAUGUCUACUUACUAUUUUUUCCAUUACCGGUAGGACCACAUCAUCAUAGUUGCCAUCUUUUUUUUGCAUUGCCCUCUUCCAAAGUAAACUUCUAUCAAUGCUUUCUAUGGAGCCAGCUUCAAUCAUCUAAUAGAAAUGGAAAAUUAAAGAUAGUUAUUAGAUGACACAUGUGGUUUUAUUUCUAUUUUUUUGUCAGAAAAGAAACAAUUAAGAAACCCAUAUAAAAUAUUCCUUCAUUACUUAUACAAUCAUAUAAAAUUAAACCACAAUAAGAACUAACAAAAACUUACCAUCUCUUCUUCAAGUCCAGCAUACCCUUUUCUACUUAGAUGAUGAUUAUAUAUAUGCUUCUUUCUUCUCUGUUUUUGUACUUCCCUAUAUUCCUAAAAAUUAAAAUGGAUGCUUAGUAUAUAUAUGUGGAUGCAUGUAGUAUGUUUAAUGUUAAUUGUAUUUGUACCUGGAAUUUUUCAGACAACCUAGUUUUCACAAAAAUAUUCCAAUCUUCAUCAUCGAUAAAAUGAUAUUCAGCUGGUGGUUUCUUAAGAAGCUCUGGCUGAUCUUUGAAAGGAAGAAUAUGUUUCACAGUCAACGUGUUCUUAAAAGAUCGAAAACAUUUUCCCAAUGUAAGCAUACAAUUCCUUCUACUUUUCUUGUCUAAUGUAAAAGCAAUCUACAAAUUAUAAAGUCAUUAGUUUCUCAAAAUUUGAAAGAAAUAUAGAGAUUGUAGAAAACUUAUUUAUGUUAAAAAAAAAAGUAACCUCAAUAGAGUCCCACAACUUAUCCUUCAAUUGUUCAGGGACAUCUCGCCAUGUGUUAUAUCUGAUUGGUACCAUCGUACGUGCCAAUACACCUAAGUAGCUUGUUAGGUGCACAGAAGAUUCUCCUACAUAGAUACCAUCAACAUUGUACUUUAUGACCAACUUUAUCCCUCUAUUCCUAUUCCUUAUAAUCAUGGAUUUCCUUGUUGUCCCUCUAUAUUUUUUUUGUGAAGGGGUUUUCUCUUCCUUUGAAUCCAUGCCUAUAACACAUCAAUGAGAAAUGAUAAGUAUACCCAUUAAUUGCAAGUAAAAUUGAAUUUUUUAUAACAUGAACUCAUAUUAGUAACAUGAACAUACUAGGAACAUUUUACAUGCUAGAUAACAAUAUUCACAUGUUGUCAUGAAAUAUUUAAAAAUAAUAAUAAUAAAAACUUACUAGAAGAUCCUCACCAAACUUUUUUCUUAUGGAACUAGAAAUCAUAAGCUUUGAGCUGAGACAAAUUGAUAUCCUUGUAUUACCCUUUAGAUCACUCUGAGAUAUGUGUAUAAUAAUAAUCAUGAAAUAGGGAAUCAAUAAAUUUAGAGACAUGAUGAAUUUAAUCCACUUAGAAAAUAAAUAAGCUAUUUACUGAAAUGCAGAAUUUCAAUAUUAACAAGUUAAUGGGAUAGUUACAACCUUCAUAACAAAACAACAAGGUCAUAAAUUUAGUUACAUAGAAGAUUUGUUAUCAAUCCAGAAUCCCUCACAGUCUCCUCGAAUGCAAAUGACAUCAGAGUCAUCCAUUGUAUCAAAUGAUUCAACUUGUGCCAAGGUGGUAAUGAGAGGAUGGUGUUCAAUAGAAUUAUCCAUGAAGUCAUCAGAAUCCUUUGCUGAAAAUGAGAAGUCCCUUUCAGGAGUUGACAAAACAACUGACCAUCUUGGAUCAAGUUGGUUUUGUACAUAGAAUACUUGCUUGGCUUGGGAGGCUAAAAUAAAUGGAUCUGAUUUAUGAGCCAUCUUAGUGAAGUCAACUAAUGUCAGCCCAAACUCAUCAACUUUGAUGCCGCUCUUAUUAUCAACCCAAUUACAUUUGAAAACUGGAAUCCUAAACAUGGUAUAAUCAAGAUCCCAUAUCUCAGUAAUAAUACCAUAGAAACAUAGCUCACUAAAUACUGGAUUCUUAUCCUUGGCACUAGAAAUUUGCAUUGUUGUUGCUACAAUGCUAACUCCACUAUUCUGGGUAACUCGUAACUCAUCACGGUCUUUUGUGUUGUACUGACACCCAUUUAUAACAUAGCCAUGAUACUUGGCCACGUAGUGGGUAGGACCAUGUGCCAUCCAUCUUAAGGUUUCAGAUAUAGGUUCUUUGUCAGCAAUGACAACUUCUACCUGUUUGAAUGGACCAUAGUUAUUAAUAUUUUUUAUGAUAAGUGCUAAGAAUGGUGCAAUUUUUAGAAUAAAUUCAAUACCUUUUUUCGCAACCAAUGAGUGAAUGUUCGCAUGUGUUCUUCUUGUAGCCACUUUUGUCUCUUAGAUUGACGAGGAUUGUUCAAUUUCAACCAUUUCAUGUGUUCUCUAUAAGAUAUGUAUAAGAAAGUAACAAUAAGUUUCCAAAAUUAGUUUAAGUAAUCUACACAUAAAAUCAAAAUAGUUGACCCUUACUCGAUAUAAGGUUGGAUGAUAGUUGUAUUUUCCAACACAUAAUGAUGUGCUUGCAACAAAAAAUUACAAUCAACUUCGGUGAUAUGACCUCCAGGAAUAGGCGCCCCAACUUUAUGGUCAACAUUAGUGCUACUAGGAACUCCAAUUGCAUCCACAUUUGAUAAGUACUCUGUACAAAAUUCAAUAGCUUCCUCUGCAAUGUAGCAUUCAACAAUGCAACCUUCAGGGUGGUUACGGUUUCACACAUAACCCUUUAAUACUUUCAUGAACCUUUCAAAUGGGUACAUCCAUCUAAAAUAAACCGGUCCACAAAGUCUCACCUCUCUAACAAGAUGAACCGUUAAAUGAAUCAUGAUAUCAAAGAAGGAUGGCGGAAAGUACUUUUCAAGCAAGCGCAAUGUCACAACAAGUUCAUUUUGUAACUUAUCCAAUGUAGACACAUCAACCACCUUCUUACAUAAAGCAUUGAAAAAAAGGCUCAAUCUAGCAAUAGCAUGUCGUACAUGCUUUGGCAAAAGUGAUCGCAAUGCCACUGGUAACAAUUGUUGCAUCAGUGUAUGAUAAUCAUGAGACUUCAGGCCAUAAAGGUUCAAAUCUUCCAUUGACACAAGAUUUCUAAAGUUUGAGCAAUACCCUUCAGGAACCUUUAACUCAGCUAAAGUUUGACAAAAUACUUUCUUCUCCUUUCUAGACAAUGUAUAACAUGCAAGCGGAAGGUAAGUUCGAUUCGAUUCAAACCUUAGUGCCAGUUUACACCUUAAGCCCAUGUCCAUAAGGUCCAGACGAGAAUUGAGUCCAUCUUUUGUCUUCCCUGGGAUGUUAAGUAAUGUACCAAUGAUGCUUUCACAAAUAUUUUUCUCAAUGUGCAUUACAUCCAAAUUAUGACGAACAUGCAAAUAUCUCCAAUACUCAAGUUCAAAGAAUAUAGACUUUUUCUUCCAACAAUUGGUAUAAGUCACAUUGGAUUUUUCAUGUCUUCCCCUUUUUUUCCCCCAUGAAUUACAAAUGACAUUCAUUUUCAAUAGUAUUUCCUCUCCACUUAAUGGUUGUGGAGGUGAUCGAAACUCCUGCUCACCAUUGAAUGCCUUUCUAUGUUUUCUAAAAGGAUGAUUGCAUGGAAGAAAACGUCUGUGGCCUGUAAAUGAGUUCUUUCUCCCAUGCUUUAACCUAUGUGAAUAGGUUUCCGGUCCAUAUAUUGGACAAGCAAAAUAUCCUUUGACUAUGCAACCAGAUAAGUUUCCAUAUGCAGGAAAGUCAUUUAUUAUCCAUAAUAGAACAACCCUUAAUGUAAAGACCCCUCUUUGAUAUGCAUCAUAAGCUUCUACCCCUAUCUCCCACAAGGUUUUAAGGUCCUCAAUCAAUGGUGCUAAAUAGAUAUCUAUGUCAUUUCCAGGUUGUUGUGGACCCGAUAUUAACAAAGAUAACAUCAUAAAUUUUCUCUUCAUGUACAACCACGGUGGAAGGUUAUAAGUGAUCAUGACAACUAGCCAACAACUAUACCUGCUGCUCAAAGAACUAUGGGGAUUUAUGCCAUCUGCUGAAAUGACAAGUCUAAGGUUUCUAGGUUCUGCAGCAAAAUCAGGCCAUCUAUGGUCAAUUACCUUCCAUGACGGCGAGUCGGAUGGAUGACGCAUUUUUCCAUCAAAUUCUCCACCUUCUGCAUGCCAUAUGAGGUCUUUUGCAAUUUUUGAGGACCGAAACAUUCUUUUAAAUCGUGGGAUAGGUGGAAAAUACCACAUUACUUUAGCAGGAACUCCUUUACUCUUUUUGCUUCCUCUUCUAUUCACCUUCCACCUUGAAGCUCCACAUGUAGGACAUGAAGAUGCAUCUUUUAACUCAUUCCUAAAAAGUAUGCAAUCAUUGGGACAUGCAUGUAUUUUUUCAUAUUCCAUUUCCAAUGCAUUCAAUGUUUUUUUUGCUUCAUACAUAGACAAUGGCAACUCAUUGUUUACAGGCAACAUAUCACCAAGUAAGCUUAAUAGCUCGGAGAAGCUUUUAUCAGACCACCCAUAUCUUCUUUUCAGAUUGUAUAAUUUAACUAAAGUAGAUAAUUUGGUGAAGUUUUUGCAAUCGAGAUACAAAGGUUUUUCAGCAUCUUCAAGCAACCUUUCAAAUAAUUUUGGAUUAGCCUUACAAUCAUCUUAUGCAGCUUCAACCAUUUCUACUGUAUGAUCCACAUUACCAAUAUGAAUUCUAUCAAAACAUUCAACCCUUGUAGUUAGGGGUCCACUACUUAGAGCUGCCUCCCCAUGCCAAAACCAAGUAUGGUAACUUUGGUCAAUUCCAUAAAAGAAUAGGUGUUCUCUAAUCUUUUGAGGAGUAUUGAAGAUCAAAUUUCCACACUAUAGACAUGGGCAUUUGAUGGAGUUUUGAUUUGCAGAAUUUUGAACUGCAAAUGAAAUGAAAUUUUCAACCCCAUCCUCAUAGUCUUUUGAUCUUCUAUCUUUUGACAUCCAGGAACGAUUCAUUUGCCUAUAAUAGUUGAACACAAUUCCUAUAUAGCAAACAUAAGCAAACAAUGGAAAUGGAAAAGACUUAGAAAGUUACCUUUAGAAAACACUCAAAACUUUCAGUUUCUCAUUUGUGACAUCCAAAAUUUCUUUUAAACUUUCUAUGGACAAACAAUUAGGAUUCAAGUGCAAUAAAAAAUUUGAACCUCAUCCUUAAUAAAAAAAAUGAUUAACAAUAUGACAAUAGAACCUUUUGAUGCAUGUUUUUAUGCCUUUUAACAUGUCCAUCAUCCAAAAUCAGGUAGUUGUUCCUAUCCCAUGUAGGAAUACAUAAUCCCUAUGUGUUAAUUGCCAAUAUACUCAAUUUCAUUUUAAAGAAAUUUUGGCAGCAUUUCCCCAUAGUUCUCCAAGUACACAAAAUGAACAAGGUAUAAUAUGUGACCUUGUUCAAAUAUGCACCCAAAGAACAAGAGGAAAUACUACCAAAAUUUCUAAAAAGUGAAUUAAGCACAAGCAAUUAACUUCAUAGAUAUUAUGUUUUCCUACACUGUCCAAUCGGACAAUUCAAACAUCAUUGCAAAAAAAAUAUCUUUAUCACAUUCUAGACAAUUUAAAAGUUGUCAACUUGAAAGUGGCUUAGGUAAAACCUUUUUCACCUUUGACAACUUAAAUGUCUUUAGUAUGUAAUAAGAGAAACUUUUAUCUUACAAUGAUAGUUGAAUGGGAACUCUAAGGUUUCAUGCAUGCAUGUUUGAUUAAAAUUAAAACACAAUUACUUAUUGAAUAAUCUAAUAAUUAUAAAACACCUAAAGUUGUUCCAUAAUUAUUGCUAUAUUUCAUCAUUAAACAAGAUUAUUAUGAGAAAGCAUACGUAUGGCCCAUGAUUUGCGAAUCAAGUCACACCAGUCUAUGUCAUAGCCUUGGGUCAAAAUUUGGGCCUUGGUAUCAAACUAAGCUAGGGAAUAACUCGUACAAUUCAGGUACUCAAUAAGAUUUAAACAAAAUUUAAAAUAACGCUUCCAUUAUAUUCUUUUGACCACCCAAAGUAAAAAUGGUAUUAUGAUUAAAAUAUGUUGGUUUGUAUAAGGAAAAAUAGUGUACCUUCCUCACUCUGUCUUUGUCUCAAGUCUUGCAUCACACACCUCUCGUAGUCCAAUGUAGGUCACUGUCUCUUAAAAUAUGUAUAUGCAAAACAAAUAAUAAAUAAAGAUAUAAAAUAAAUCCAUUAGUAGAUAUUAACAAAUAAAUACAAAAUAAAUUAAAAUAAGAAAUAAACUAAGAAGAAAAAACAUAUAAGUAAGAAAAAAAAGAUUUUCACAUGUGCAACAAUGGUUAGAUAUUUUUAAAAAUUUAUAAAAUUAUUAAAAUCAAACUAUUUUAGUUAUUAUUUUUUUAAAAUGGUAAUUAAUACUCAUAUAAAAUAAAAUAUAUGCAUGAUGAGAAAGGUAAGAAGAUUAUUCCUUGUGCCCUUUUUCAUUUGAGAUUAUGACUUUUGGUGAUGACCUAAUGGUGGGUGAACCGUGAACCACACUAUCUGACCCGGGUCAAGUCCUUAGGGCAAGAAAGAUGACUGCAAGAUGGGUAGAACUUAAACGAAUGAGAUAGAAAAGUCUGGUCUAAAUUAAGGUGGCUUAACAAUCCGUAAUCAUCUUGGUUAGGUUGUAUCAUAUUGUGAAAGAGAAGUUACAGGCUAGGUCUUCAGCAUCCAGCAAUUCCACCCUUUGAUUUUUCCAACAUGUUGCACCAUCUAAUAAUAAUACCUAUGAUCCUAUACCUUAGUUUUGAUUCCUUAUGUAUACAAAGUAUAUAUGGUUACACUACAUUAAAGUUAUUUUUUUUCUCUAAAAAGUAAUUAGUGUAAAUUUUAAAAGUAGGCUAAUAUUCAUUUUUUUUUUCACUUCUUAUUUUUUGUUUUGAAAAUAGAAAAUAGUAACAACUCUUAUACAAAAUAUUUUACUAUUUUUUGUUUUUAAAAUAGAAAGUUAGAAAUUGCAUUUUAAAAGCAAUAUUCUAUUUCAAUCCACACAAAUGAUACAAGUUUUGAAAUAUUCCAUUACCAUAUUUUGAGUAAUAUUUUUAAAGGGUUAAUUUAAUUCAUUUCCCCUCAAGAUUUGACUAAAUAUAAUGGCACCCGAUAAUAUGAAAUUUGAAGAAGUCCAUAUACUCUUCAAGUCUAUAAUUAGAAGUUCCUAGUAAGUUGUCACCCAUACUAAUGAAAUUUCUUGAGUCAACAUUAAUCUCGAACCUUUUUGCUACCUUCAUUACCUAUUUUGCCCCUUUACCACCUACUUAGUCCUCUUUACUUUGACCAUGUGUGUUUCUCUUACUUGCCCCUCUACUUUUAUGAAAGAAGCAUAUAGAAGAAGCCCAUUCAAGUUUUUAAUUUUUCUUUGUUUGGAUCAUUCCUUGAAACCUUCUAAAAUUUCCCUUGUACUUAGCCUCAACAUUACAGGUCCAAUAAAACUCUUAUAAAUAAAAUUAAAAGUGUAAUAAAUAUUAUAAAAUUAUUUUAUUAAAAAAAUUAAUAUAUAUAUAUAUAUUGUAAUUAUUAAAUUAUAUAAAAUCUUAUUCAAUAAUAAUAUUGUGAUAUUUAAUUAUAAUAUGUUUAAUUUUAAAAUAUAUUUAAUAUUAAAAUUAUGAUAUAUUUAAUUAAUAUAUUAGUGAUAUUAAAAACUUUUUACAAUUUAAUUAAAUAAAAAAAUUAUUUACAUAUAAAAUAAUUAUAAUUAAUUUGUUGUUUAAAGGAUUAUUUUAAUAUUUUGUGUAUAUAAAAACUUUUAAUAUAUAUAUAUAUAUAUAUAUAUAUAUAUAUAUAUAUAUAUAUAUAUAAUCAUAAGGGUUUUGAUUUCAACAAGGUAUAUUUUAUUAAGUAAAGAAAGAAGGGCAGCUUCCUUGAACUUUCAAUCCCAACUUGCAGAUUUUACACCUUCGGCAUCACAGGUAUAUUGAGGAGGACAAGGAAAAGUGCCAUCAACGUAUCCUAAGAGGUCGUUGCUAAUUAAAACAGGGAGGAAUUUAUCUUUCCAGAGAAGAUAGUUGGUGGAAUCAAGUUUGAUUGGUAAUAUUCGGUGCAGCAAGUAGAGUGGAAGAAGGCAGUGAAUUCGAAAUAAAAACUGAUAAGAAUGUGACAAAGAAGAAGGAAGAACAAAAGGAUAUGAUGGUGUAGAAAAAUAAGAAGAAGAAAAGAAUAGGGUGAAGGAAUUUAUUUGAGGAGAAUAGGAGAUGACAAAGUUGAUACCUGAGUCAAGAAGGGAGGAAGAGCAGUGGUGGAGAUGACAGAUGGAGGUCCGGCAAGAGUGCUAGGAGGCAAGGACUUAAAAACCUGGGUCAACGACGAUGCCGCUAAGGACGAAACUUGGCUGGGAAUAUCAAUAUGUGCAGCAGACAACAGAAUAGAUGAUGUUUCAAUGGAUGAGGAAAUUUCAGCAGUGGAAGAUGGUGUCGCAGCCAUGGCAGAGGAGAUUAAGAGAGGAUGCAGCAGGAAAGAAAUUGCUAGAACAAUGACAGCGGCAGGUUUAGAAUCCUUUCAACACACCAAAUUUAGAGUCAGACUUGACAGCCUUUCAAAGACGCGGAGGCAUAGAAUAUUCUUGAUUAAAAUAUGUGAGAUCAUAAGCACCAAGGAAAUCAACGACCCCACCACAGCUAUUGCCACUCUCCGCCUCUUCUUCCACGACUGCAUGGUCGAAGGCUACGACACCUCAGUCCUCAUCUUCUCCAACUCCUUCAACACCGCCCAGCACGACGCCGACAUCAACCUCUCCCUCCCAGGCAAUACUGUAUCAAUACAUCCAGAUUGUACGAGUCUUGCCUCUCUAGUCAUCAGUCAUCAUUCAUGACUUUGUAGGAGGGAUGAGGUAGACCAAACAAAGCCUUCGGAUGGGCUCAAAUCUAGCCACAUCCAAGUUCCAAAUUCCUAUCCCCUAAAGUAAAAUUUAAAUUAUUAUUAUUAUUUACAUUCUGUAGAAGUUUCUUCUUUAAAUGAAUUUUAUUUUUGAGAAAACUUGCUAUGGAAAGUCUGCAUCUUGAUUUCAACCGAGACAAACCCAUAUCUUUUGGACCUGGUGCCUCUCCCAAUCCUUGACUGCCCAACAACUAAAAUUCAAACCCAAGCCCACCAAAGAAAAUUUUAAAACACGUCAUGCCUUUGCCAGUUGUUCCCCUCUCAAUACCAUUUAAAAAUCCCCCAUUCUGUAGCUUUCUCAACUGCUGCAGUCGAACCUGUCUUCUCCUUGGUGUACGAACACGACACGUCCAUACCUACAGGCGGUAGAGGCUACACCUCCUUUCCCACGCCCUUGUGCUGGUGCGUGAGCCACCCACCACAUUACCCUCAAGCUCCAUCCCGAUCACCAUGCUGGCUACUACAUCUCCAUGGCAUUACACUAGGCAAAAACAAGGCGACACUUCCCACCACAACUAAAAGGAGAAGCUGAAAUUAUACCUAUUACAACUUGCAGCGUACCAUACAACAACAAGAACAAAAAAUGCACUGUAUUUAUUUGGGAUACCAUUACCCUGAUUUUCUCCUCCCAAAAUAAUUUCCCCAUCUAUGAAACAAUAAUAUUAGAUUUUUGGAACAAUGAAAACCCUUCCAUUUGUCUUCAUUUGUACUAAUCUAUUCAAGUUUGAGGAAAACAACAUUACUUGAGAAAGAGAUUUACCUGUAACUAUGAUGCUCUGUAGUAGAUUUUGACAAUGGUAACCUCCCAUGCAUGGAAGUUAGACAUGGCCAUUCCAACGGAUUAGGGCAUUUUAGUGGUGGACUUAGUGAGAGCUAUAGGGUUUCGGGGUUUCUUCAGUUCUGAAAUUGUGGAGGGAAUGUCUGGCGGGUACUUGUAGAAAGGGAAAAACAUUUAAUUAAUAUAUAUAUAUAUAUACUAUUAUUUAAUGUCACCUAAUAUAAGUGCCAUGAAAUAUCACAACUAUGACACUGCUAUAAAGUGUCAUGGAAUAACCAGUUAUUCUUAUAAGUGCCACAACAAGCAAUGAUACUUUAAAUAAGCGCCAUGAAAUAAAAAAGCUAAUAUAAAAAAUGACCCUUUUGAAAAAACGCCAUUGUAUAUCCAAAUAUAAUGAUACUUUAUGAAAGCGCCAAUGAUUAAAGCGUCAUAAUUUUCUAUUUUUGUAGUAGUGGUUAGACAUUGGAAAAUAUUGUAUAUAUAAAUAUAUUAUUAUAAUAAUAAAAAUGAGAAGAAACAUGAGGAUUACUAUUUUAGUCUUAGGACUUUUGUGUGUAAUGAAGAUAGGAGGGUAAUGAGUUGGUUAUGCAUUGAAUUUGAAAAUUAAUAAAAAUAAUAAUAUUUAGUUUUAAGCUAACAAAGGAAAUAUUAGCAAUAAUAACAGUUUAGUGCAAUAAAUACAAAAACAAUAUAUUUUUGAGAAAUGUAGUUUAAAAAUAAUAACAAUAAAUUAAUGGAAUUUGGAGGAUAAAUUUUGGAAAGAACCCAAUUUUUAGAAGAAUUUAAAAAAUCACAUGUUAAAUUAUUAUUGAUUAAGAAGUUAAAAAUAAUAGGUGACAUAAUAUAGAAAAUUUCAAUCCCAUCCUACUUAUUUAAAAUAAUUAUCAUCCUCGUGCUAGUAAAAGAGAAAAGAAAAAUAGAGUGGGGUGGGUAUAUGAAUUUACCAUAUUAGUCUCACCUCACCCUGAUUAAAGUCUUCUUUUCUAAAUUAAAUUUUAAAAAAUUUAAUUAAAUAAAUGUAUUUUAUAAAUAAUUAAAAUAUUAUAAUUUUUAUAACUUAUUUUAUUGCAAAGUAAUUAUUUUUAUUAUUUUAUAUGUAUUAAAAAUGGGGAAAUAAAAAAUUUAAAUUAAAUUAUUUUUUGAAAUUCAUUUUAUAUAUAAUUAGGGUGAGAUGGGAUGAGACAAGGCAAAAUCUGAAACUAUCCUGCAUUUAAAAAAAAAAAAAGAAAAUCUCAAACUUGCCUCACGUUUAAAAAGAAAAAAAAUCUCAAACUUGCUCAUAACUUAUUUAUUUUAAUUCCAAACCAAUAAGGUGGGACGAGGGCCUGUAGCCAUAGAAGACUUGUAGGGAUUUUACCCGAAAAAUCUCACUCUAUUGUUAUCGUACUCCUAUCCAAGUUGAUAGUCAACUUGUAUACCUUGUUUUUUUUUUUUUUCAAUAUUCAAAUAAAUCACAAUUUAAUUUUAAUGGUCUUUAAACUAAAAGUUCAAUUAAAUGAAUUUUUUCGUGUCAUUAGCUUUCACAACCUCGUAAGUGCUAAUAAUAUUCAAUUUCAAAUAAUCAUCAAAGUCUAUACAACCAUUUCUAAAUCAAAUGUUCUCAUAGUUUAUUUUCAACCAAUCAAAGUAUAAUUAAAUUACAUAUAUCCAAAUUCCCCAAAUAAAUACACAUCUAAUUUCCCCGUUGCUUGGUAGGAGGCCUUACACCCAACAGGGUUAACAAGUAAUAAUCAAAGACUAAAAAUACAUGAAAUAUUGUAAAAUUAUAAAGUGACAUGAGAAGAAAACAAGAAAGAGAAAUCAGAAUGUAGGAAGAGAAUAGAAUUUCAUUAGAGGUAUUUCCCUUUUAUAGGGAGUCACAAAGAGAUAUACAUCAAUAUGGAUGAUCAUCCACAAGUUCCCAUAAUCCGAUAAAUUCUCAUAUUUUAUAACACUCCCCUUUGGAUGAUCAUAAGAAUAUGCCUCAUUAAAACCUUACUAGGAAAAACCCCAUGGGAAAAAACUUUAGUGAAGGAAAAAUAGUACACUAUUCUUUUGGAUUACUAUAACUACCUCGUUAAAAACCUUGCCAGUAAAACCCAUUGGGACAAAACCUGGAUGAAGGAAAAAAAAGUGCAGUAUAUCCAUAUUAUCAUUCUCCCCCUCAUGUAAACAUGAUUAUGAUUUCUUCAACAUUUCAAAUGGUAGAUCUCUCAAUCUUCAUAUUCCAAAGUCAUACCUUAACUUUUUCAAUGUGGUCAAAGGUAACACCUUUGUGAAUAGAUAUGUUAGAUUAUUUCAUGUAUUCAAAUAAAAUAAAUUUUCCUUCACUAAGGUUUUUUCCCAUGGAGUUUUUCUUAGUAAGGUUUUAAUGAAGUAUAUUUUUAAGAUCAUCUAAGGGGGAGUGUUAUAAAAUAUGAGAAUUUAUCAGAUUAUGGGAACUUGUGGAUGAUAAUUCAUAUUGAUGUACAUCUUUUUACGAAUCCCUAUAAAAGGGAGAUACCUCUAAUGAAAUUCUAUUCUCUUCCUACAUUCUGAUUUUUUUUUCUUAUUUUCUUCUCCUUUCACUUUAUAAUUUUAUAACAUGUUAUCAGCACGACUAGUCUCUACAAAAGAAAUAGAAAUAUUUUUCUCUAUUCAGAAAAAUAACAAGAUAUUCUUUAUUCUUUCUCACAAAAAGGUAUGUGAUAAACUUAUAUCAUGAUUUUCUAUUUUAUUACCUUUGAUCUCUAUUUUCAUUUAUUUUAUUUGAAUAUAUAAAUAUAUAUAAUCUCAAUAACCGGAAGUUAUGGGGUAAAUUCAUAACCAGAAGUUAUAAAAAUUAUGUGCAAUUCCUAUAACCAGAAGUUAUGAGGAAAAAUUAGAAAAUUACAUAUACAUAACCAGAAGUUAUGUAUAUGAUCUCUAAUUAUUUAUUUUUAAUUAUACGGUAUAACUGAAUGUUAUACCAAACAAUAUUAUAUAGCUAGAAGGUAUAAAAUAAAUAAAUAAAUAAAUGUUCAUAGCCUGAUUAUUUUGUCAGAAUAAGAAAAUAUUUAAAUUUGUACAUAACUUAGGCCAUGAUUAUUUUGUCAGAACAAGAAAAUAUUUAAAUUUGUACAUAACUUAGGUCAUGAACUGUUUUUUAUAUAAAUUUAUAUAUAUCUUCAGGCUAUGAACUAUUUAUUGUGUAGAUUUGUGCAUAACUUCGGGCUAUGAACUUUCAUUAUGUAGAUUUGUACAUAACUUCAAGCUAUGAACAUUUAUGUAUUUAUUUACUUUAUAGCUUCUGGCUAUAAUAUUGUUUGGUAUGACAUCCAGUUAUACCGUAUAAUUAAAAAUAAAUAAUUAGAGAUUAUAUACAUAACUUCUGAUCAUGUAUUUGUAAUUCUGUAAUUUUUCUUCAUAACUUCUGGUUAUAGGAAUUGCACAUAUUUUUCAUAACUUCUGGUUAUAAAUUUACCCCAUAAUUUAUAAUUUACCCCAUAACUUCUGGUUAUAGAGAUUAUACAUAUUUAUGUAUUCAAAUAAAAUAAAUGAAAAUAGAGAUCAAAAGGUAAUAAAAUAGAAAAUCAUGAUAUAAGUUUAUCACAUACCUUUUUGUGAGAAAGAAGAGAGAAGAUCUUUCUAUUUUUUUGAAUAGAGAAAAAUCUUUCUAUUUCUUUUGUAGAGACUAGUUGUGUUGAUAACGUGUUGUAAACUUAUAAAGUGAAAGGAGAAGAAAAUAAGAAAGAGAAAUCAAAAUGUAGGAAGAGAAUAAAAUUUCAUUAGAGGUAUAGGGAGUCACAAAGAGAUAUACAUUGAUCAUUCACAAGUUUCCAUAAUCCGAUAAAUUCUCAUAUUUUAUAACAUGAAAAUAUUAAUAAGAUAUUUUAUUUUAUCCCGAAUAUGUAUAUAUAUAUAUAUAUAUAUCUUGGUAAUUAAUAAAAAAAUACAAAUGGACGUGAAUACACCCAAUCAUACGAUUCACUAUUCUUCUUGGGGUUUCACCUAAUGAUAUGUGUAUGUAAUCAAGUAUACUCUCCAUUUAGAUUUUUCUCGGGUCUAUUGUUAUGUCUUUUAUACUUGUGAUCACGCUCUUUUCUUAAUUUAUCCUCUUAUGUGACAUUUCUUUUUUGUCUCUCAUUUUUUUUUUUCCAUUUUACACCACCUUUCCUCAUUAUAUAUAUAUAUUCACACAAUUAUGAUGCAAAUAUAAUAUAUAAUAUGAAACUAUUAUUUUUAGAACAUAUUUUUAUCUUUUAAAUUGACUCCAAAAUUUAAAAAUUCAAUACACAUUUUUUUUUUAAUUCUCAUGAAUUAAUGAUCAUUUCAUUUUCCUCUAGCACUAUUUUAUCAACAUCAAUAAAAAUAUAAUUUAAAUAACACUCAUAUACCAAAUCACCCGUGGAUAUUACAAGUAUUAACAUAUUUAUUUCAUGGCAUAAUAUUUAUAACUUUUUUCUUAAAAAUAUAUUAAAUAAAUUUUUUUGGGAUACAUCGCCCUACCAAAAACUGCGAACCUAAUCGUUAUUUUUGAAAUUGAGCUUUGUAGCCAUAUUCCCCAAAUAAAAGGUGGUUUGUUUCAACGAAUUUCUGUUUUUAUUUUCAAAGAAAACAAAAGGUAGGUUUUAAAUAUGUUUAGACAAUGUUUUACCGGUUUUUGUUUUCUAGAAAUCUAAAUUCAGAAAAUGGAAAAAAAAAAAAUGAAAACAUCAAUUUGUUAUUUUCAAAAUUUUAUUAAGAAAGGUGAAAACAAUUUUAAAAAAUAUUCAAAACAAAGAAAAUAAAAAUAAAAAAGACCUUAUGGGAUUGAUCAUAAUAUAAAAAAAUAAAUACAAAUAUUGUAUAUAUAAAAAAUAUUAAUAUAAAUAAAACAUGAAAUAAUAAGUAAUGUAUAAAUAUUUGGUUUAUUUUUUGGAUUAGAGAUUAUUUAUAAGUUGAUAUAUUUUUUGAAUAUAAACUAAUUCAUUUUAAUUGAUUAGUCAGAAGAUUAUUAGAAUAUUUUAUUACAUUAUUUUAAAACAAAAAUAAUAUAGUAAAGAAAAUAAAAAAGAAUAAUGAACAAAUACAAGGAAAGCGUGACUUUAUAGUAUAUAUGUUAUAACACAUAACAUAAAAAAUAAUCAUAAUUAUAUAAAAUUUUAAUUAUAUUUAAUUUCACAAUUUUUAAUAAAAACUUAAAAUCAAAAUUUUUUUUUGCAAAUUUUAUUUUUUAAAAGCAGAUUUCAUUUUUCUUAAACAAAAUGUAUUUUUUAAGAAAAUAAAAAAUAGAAAGUGAAAAUUGUUUUGAAAAAAUAAAAAUUAGAAAAGCGUUUUUCAAAUUAAAUACAAUCAAUUAAUUUCUUUUCUUUUCUUUUUUGUGAAUGUAGAUACAUUAUUGAGUCAUUAAAUCUUGUGUUAAAGUGUAGUUUUUUUUUUUCAUUUAUUUUAUUUUCUUGUUUAUUAUUGACUUGCUUCCGGAUAACAUCGAGAGUUGCAAAUACAUCUUAUGAUUGAGUACAAAUAUUAGGUCUUGUCAUUUUCUCAAGUAGGAAAAGAUACGGGUGUUUCGAUGAAUUGAAUUAAUAGUGUUAGGACAUUUGCUUUGUUUUUUUGGUUGAUAAUUUUGUUUCUUUUCAUUAUGAUAUAUGAUUUUUUUAAAUAGUGACAUUUGUAGAUGAUGACUUACUCUUUACUGAAGAUUUGAGACUGUCGUUUAAUUAAUCGGAUGGUUAUAUGUAAAUUUGAAAAGAUUUAAGUAAAGACAAUUUUUUUAUAAGUUAGAGUUAGAUGGAAAGUUUUAAAAUUAAGUUAAAAUAUUUUAAUUAAUUUUUAAAAAGUUGAGAUUUUAAUUUUUUUUAAAAAUCGGAUGUUAUCAUUAGGAAAAUGUCAUAACUUAUCCUACCAUUUUUGAAAGCUUUAAAAGGUUUUUUUUUUAUAAAUAAUUAUGGCUUGUUGAAGGGACCUACAUCAUCUCAGAGAUUGAGAUGAAUUCAGUAGAGUACUCGAGGUAUUGUGUCCCGAGGAUGUAGGUGGAAAGUAAGUGCAAGGUAAAACCAAUUUUUAUUUUUAUUUUUUUUUGUUAAAAACUCUUAAGACGAUGAUGAUGUUAUACAUAUGCAUAUUCAAUAGAUUCUGCAUCAUGAGCUCAAGCUGCUAGAUGCUAUGAAUAGGUCAGGACUGUGGAUGACAUGUGUUUGACACGUGGAAAUGAAGAGUGAGGAUGAGCAUCCAAUUAUUUUUAUCUUUAAUUCCCAUGUUUGAAUAAUUUAAAUUAUGAUGGGAAUGAAUCAAAAAGUGAUUCAAAUGGAAAUAAAAUCUUACUUAUAAGUAGGAUUUCAAUUCUCUCCAACUAGAGGUAUUUUGAUUUCUUAAUGUAAGUUAUUUUUAAAAAUACUUUUUAAAAAUUUAAAAACUAAACAUUUAAUUUUUUUGAAUAUGUUGUUUUUGAAAAGAAAUUUUUAGUUUUAUUUUGUAAAAAAAAAUAUUUUAAAUUAAGAUAAUAUAAUGUAAACUAAAUUUAAUUCAUGUCUUAUUAAAAAAUAAAAAUAAAAAUAAAUUAAAAAAUAAAUAGUUUUUAAUAAAUAUGAAUAUUAAUAAAAUAAUAAAAUCAGAAAUGGUAUAUAUUUUUUAUAAAUAUUAUAAAUAUAUAGAUAUUAACAUUAAUUGAUUUAUUUUGUUAAAAAUAAAGAAUAGUUAUUCNCNAAUUAAUAAUUUCUAAUACUAUCUAUUUUAAAUUAAUAUAAAAAAAUAAAAUUUAAUUUUUUAAGGUAUAAAUGAGCCAAAUUUUUUAUUAUAUGCAUAUAUUUAUAACCCAAUUGUGAAGAUGACAUUCUAAAUUAUUUUAUUUAUCUAUAAUUAAUUAAUCAAUUUUUUAAAAUUCAAAUUAUUCUUAAAAUUACAAGAUUUAUUAAAGAAUUUAUAGUAUUAAUUAUGUCUAUUAUUUUUAUAGUCAUUAUAUAUAUAUUUUUGAGUUUUAAAUAAUUUUUGAAAUUAUAAAACUUAUUAAUAAAUUCAAUACAAAUUCGAUUUGAAAUUCAUAUUUUCUACUAAAAAAAUCGAAAGAAUAAUUCUCUAUUUUAUUUUAUUUUUAAAAAUUGUUUUUAAAAAAUAACAAUCAAAUAGUGAUAUAAAUUUUUUAAAAACAAUUUUUUUUUUUAAAUCAUGCACCCAAAUAAGUUUUUAUUAUUUAGAAAAAAAAAACAAAUUCCUAAGGAUUUUUUCAAAUGAAAAUAAAAAAUUACUUCAAACAACGUAGAAUGUGAGAUUUUUUUUAUAAAUAAAAAUAAAAAUAAAGAAUUAUUUUAAAUCAGAUAUACAAAUAUUAUUAAUAAUUCUUUUUUUUUUUUUCAUUUUCAUUCCUAUUUUUAUUUAACAUUGAAAUAUAAUCAAAUUAUCAUUCCAAUCUUAUAUUCUUAUAUGCAUGCAAACAUAAAAAUUAAAAUUACCAAAUUCAUUCCUAUCAAUAGGGAAUAGUAGUAAAACAAAAUAUUCAUUUCCAUUCCCAUUCUUCGUUAUGCGUACCAAACAUGUCCUUAUCUUACAUAGAAUCUGGCCAACAUUAUAGGGCAUGUGGGGAUCGGGCAGAUGUUAAUUUGUUGGCCUGAAAUUGGAAAUCAUCAUCUUUAUGUCACUAAGAAGUAACUUAAUGAACCUAGCUCAAAUCCAUGCUAUGUUCAGUACAAGACAGUGAUGGUGCUAAAGACGAUAACCUAAUACGUGGGUCCCUUUUGCCUAUCAGGAAAAACAUAACACAUGCGUGCUUCCUGCGACUUCUUUCAUGAAAACUUUUCAGUCUAUUAUCCUUCGCAGUGCCAUUGAGAAACAAGUAUCUCCACAAAUUGGUUCCUCUGAUUUAAUUUGUCCAUUACAGAUAAUGGCUGUUCAAGUUAGCCUAUUUGCCACGUCCCUGGGAUUUCUGUCUUAAUCAUAUAAGACAAUAUAUUGAAUGGGAAAGCGAAGCUACGUGAACUUCCCAACUACGUAUGCAGCCUCUUGCACUCACACUCACUCACACGAAAGUCUAUAAAUACCGAGUUCGUAUUGCCCUUGCAAUCCAUCCAGCAGAGAAACAUCUUUGAGAGUUUCCUUUAUCAGUAGAGUCUUUCACCUCCUUUGCUUUUGUGUAGGAAAGAUGGCUUACUCCAGGACUUUCCUUCUCCUUGGCCUUCUCUUUGCUGUUGUUCUCAUCCUGUCCUCUGAGGUUUCAGGUCGGGAGCUAGCUGAAACAGCCGAAACUCGUAAGUUAAAUUUCUUUCAACUACUUUUUCAGUAGAAAUAAUGGCAAGUUAUAUUAUAUGUUCAUAUACAUAGGGAUAAUUUUGUUUUCUUAAAUUAUGGCAGAAGUGAUCAGCGUGGAAGAUGAGAAGCACGAUGGGUAUGGACACGGACACGGGCACGGCCACGGCCACGGAAAAGGACAUGGGCAUGGGAAACCUGGUCAUGGUGGCGCCGGUGAGGAUGUGGAAGACGAGACUGAGGGGGCUCAGAAUUAGAGUAAUCAAUCCUUAAUUAUGUGGGCCAC
rnacentral:lncRNA from 1 species